CCUACGGGAGGCAGCAGUGGGGAAUAUUGCACAAUGGGGGAAACCCUGAUGCAGCGACGCCGCGUGAGUGAAGAAGUAUUUCGGUAUGUAAAGCUCUAUCAGCAGGGAAGAAAAUGACGGUACCUGAUUAAGAAGCCCCGGCUAACUACGUGCCAGCAGCCGCGGUAAUACGUAGGGGGCAAGCGUUAUCCGGAUUUACUGGGUGUAAAGGGAGCGUAGACGGCAGCACAAGUCUGGAGUGAAAGGCCGGGGCUUAACCCCGGAACUGCUUUGGAAACUGUGCAGCUGGAGUGCAGGAGAGGUAAGUGGAAUUCCUAGUGUAGCGGUGAAAUGCGUAGAUAUUAGGAGGAACACCAGUGGCGAAGGCGGCUUACUGGACUGUAACUGACGUUGAGGCUCGAAAGCGUGGGGAGCAAACAGGAUUAGAUACCCCUGUAGUC
rnacentral:rRNA from 1 species